rnacentral:rRNA from 1 species
AUAUGACGUAUAAACAUGCCGGAUAAUAAAAACAACAGUUUAAAAUCCAAAUAAUUUGGCGGUACUUUACACCCUCAGGGGAACCUGUCCCUUAAUUCGAUAAUCCACGAAUACUUAUACCUCAACUUACAUAAGCUUGUGUACUGCUGUCGUCAGCAAACCUCUAUAAGAAAGUUUACUUCAGUGCUAUAACACUCACGUCAAGUCAAAGUGCAGCCAAUGUUGAGGGGGAGAUGGGUUACAAUCUAAAUAUAGAUACGGAAACAUAAUUAAUAAAAAUUGAAGGUGGACUUGAGUGUAAUACCUAUCUCAUAAUGGUAUGAAACGAACCCUAAA